GUGUGGACACCUAUUGCUAUUUCAACUGCUUUACCAUUGGAGUGGAACAUGUUAUCAUUAUGGUAGUCCUCAUUACUAUCUUUUAGCUUAUGUCAUUUUCUACUUUGUGCCAAUGUUCGGAUAGAUUAUUUAGCUAAGAAAAAUGAGCAUAUGGUGUUCAUUGGUUAUUUAUUUAUUGGCUCUCCCUAGUCAACAUAUACAUUUUUGCAGCCAUUUUGUGAAAUAAAUCUUGGAGUUGAGACUUAUUUACAAUGGCUGCCACUAACAUUUAUUAUUUAGUUUUACAAAAUUU
rnacentral:sRNA from 1 species